GAGCAGUGAUGCUGAUCGGAAAAGUUUUUAACAACUUUACAAUGUGACAUGAAUUCUCAAAUAUAAGACCCAUUUAGGUUUCUAAUUAUUUCAAUGUCUAUGUGUACAUGCAUCUAGAGGGAAAAGGGAAAAGUCUUCAAGAAGUGAGUGAGCGAAUACAAUGAUCUAUUAUUACACCUCAAUGAUAUAGGUUAAAAUUUUAUUGUCGUUGAUCUAUUAUUACACCUCACCAGUUUGUUACUAUUAACUAUUAUAUUCCGAACCUUUUCUCAGAUGGAGAAUGUUGAUCACAAGAAGAGGAUCCUUAUCAAAAAUCAUUAGAAGAGGGUCAUCGAAAUAAAGAAGUUGUCCAGUCAGAAAAACCUCCAACAUCAUUAUAAUUUAAGGAAGAGAAUAAUUUAUUGAAAAAUUAGAAUUAUGACCUUGUUAAGCUGCAUAAACUGAAGCAAUUCAUUGGAGAGUCAGGGAAGACCUGGCUUACUUCCGUCAAACUAAUCCUCUAUAUAUAUUAAUAGAGCAAAUAUUGGAGAACAAGUUGAAGUUAAUUGCAGUUCAUUUUAUCAAAAGUCACAUCAUGUGGUACUACAGAAGAAAGCUGGUUCUUCUUUCCUAUCACGCACCAGAGAAGAAGUGAAGCAAUUGCUACUUAGCUUGAGGGCAAAUGAUGUUGGCGUUGUAAUUUGAGAAUGGAACAUUUAGGAAAUACUUCCUUAUCUUAAGGCGUAAUGGCUUCCUUAUCUUAAGGCCACUUAAACUUG